UCAGAAACGACCCUGGCCAAUGUCACCGC
rnacentral:piRNA from 1 species